rnacentral:misc_RNA from 1 species
GAUGAAGAACGCAGCGUAAUGCGAUAAGUAAUGUGAAUUGCAGAAUUCAGUGAAUCAUCGAAUCUUUGAACGCACCUUGCGCCCUUUGGCCAUUCCGAAGGGCAUGCCUGUUUGAGUAUCAUGAACACCUCAACUCUUCAUGGUCUUCUAUGAUGAGCUUGGACUUUGGGGGCUUGCUGGCCCAUUUGGUCAGCUCCUCUCAAAUAAAUCAGCCUACCAGUGUUUGGUGGCACCACAGGUGUGAUAACAAUCUACGCUUGAGGUUUUCCACCAGGCAACCUUCAGUAAUUGGGGUUCACUGGGGCUCACAAAUGUCUUUCUUCAGUGAGGACAGCUCUUUGAAUGUUUGAUCUCAAAUCAGGUAGGACUACCCGCUGAACUUAAGCAUAUCAAUAAGCGGAGGA